CAAUAGCGUAUAUUAAAGUUGUUGCGGUUAAAAAGCUCGUAGUUGGAUUUCUGCUGAGAACGACCGGUCCGCCCUCUGGGUGUGUAUCUGGCUCUUUCUUGGCAUCUUCUUGGUGAACGUUGCUGCACUUGACUGUGUGGAGCGCUACCCAGGACUUUUACUUUGAGGAAAUUAGAGUGUUUCACGCAGGCAUACGCCUUGAAUACAUUAGCAUGGAAUAAUAAGAUAGGACCUCGGUUCUAUUUUGUUGGUUUCUAGAGCUGAGGUAAUGAUUAAUAGGGAUAGUUGGGGGCAUUCGUAUUUAACUGUCAGAGGUGAAAUUCUUGGAUUUGUUAAAGACGGACUACUGCGAANGNAUUUGCNAAGGAUGUUUNCAUUG
rnacentral:rRNA from 1 species